rnacentral:rRNA from 1 species
GUCGCUACUACCGAUUGGGAAAAUUUCAGAAUGCUUAGGACUGUGGCUUGUUUGGCCUUUGGCUUUACUCGUCGCGGAAAUAAGUAUAAUGAUAUUUUCCUAGAGGAAGUAA